AUGAAACCUGUUCAUGAGAGGAGUCAGGAAUGCCUUCCACCAAAGAAACGAGACCUCCCCAUGACCAGCUGCUCCACUAACCACACACCCUCCAGUGAUGCCUCUGAAUGGUCCCGAGGGGUUGUGGUGGCCGGGCAGAGCCAGGCAGGAGCCAGAGUCAGCAUGGGGGGUGAUGGAGCUGUGGCCAUCACCGGUCUGACAGUGGACCAGUAUGGCAUGCUGUAUAAGGUGGCUAUGCCGCCUGCCACCUUCUCACCAACUGGCCUCCCAUGUGUGUGAAUAUGAGCCCCUUGCCCC
rnacentral:lncRNA from 1 species